GGACACAUAUUCAAUGUUUUUGUUGUCUCAUUGACAUGGUGGUGUGUCAAUUACCAUGUGGUGUCUCAGCUAUCACCGUUAAUGCAGGUAUACGUGUAUGUGUACCCACGCUUCAUUCAAUGAAGCGCUGUCGGCGCCACAUAAUCUGCAUCAUCUUGUGUGUGUGUGCCCAUUUGUCUUCUUCUCAUUCGCACACAAACUUGCUUGCAUUAGAGUUUCGUUGACGCAGCAUGUGUGCAUUCACCGCAUGCAUACCAUUCAACCUACGGAUGAUGGCCGUCUCAUUCACACACAUACCUGCUUACAUUACUCACUCCACUUAGAGUUUCGUAAACGCAACAUGUAUGUAUUCAAUGAAUGAACGAUUUCUGGUUAUGGAGAACGCAUUUGAGUGUGUUUAUGCAUACUGCUCAUCACGGUAUACCAUAGGGGGACUUGUUACACCUUAACGUGCAGUGAAUUCUCUUAGCACACAGGUAUUUUCCGUUCGAGGUCAUAUUGGACGCAAACAUGUCAUUUAUGGUUCUUGUUACUUUGUGCCCAAAUUAUCUGCACAGCUUGGACCGAUAACUCAAUGAGUGGACGUACAGGUACCCCAACGAUUUGCCACGAACCUUUCAACAUAGACCCCAUCUCCUGAGGCAGAUAUUUAUGAUCGCUUUAUAAUGGUAUAAUUUUGGAUUUCCCAGGUGGAUGCAGUAUACCACUUAAUUUUUUAUAGAGGAAUACAAAUUUAUAUAUCCUUUUUGCCUGAUAUUUGGGAUAGGUAUUUUUUGUUUGGUAACAGCAGUAUAUGGACAGUUAACGGCGUCACCCCCUUGGAGUAGGAACAUACAUUGCGAAAAACAGCGAAAUAUUUUUAUACCUGAGGAUUGUCAACUAUUUCUCAUUCUUGAAACACAUCGUGGAAAAAGUUUUACCAACCCAAAUAGAUUGGUUAACGGUCGCCUCACAUCCGUUGAUAAAGCACUACGGUUCCGGUUCCACUUAACCUGAGAUAACUAUUUAAAAAUUCUUUAUCUUCGUUACCUGGUUGACCAGAUACUUAAUUGGCUUGUGGGAACUUAUGUCGGCGGUAAUUAUAUGGCUCUUUUCUGUCAUAACGGACCCUGUCGCAUCAAUCUGCUGGCUUGCUGCAACUUAGAUGUCGACACAAAUUUUUCUAUGGCAUAUGGCCGGUUUAAACAAGGCGACCUUCCGCGUAAACUGUUGGAAGGCCUCGUAAUGGCUUGCAAUCUGAUGGAAUCUUAAAUGGAAGGGACACAACACUUGUUACGACCAACAUUAGACAACACCACAAUUUCAACUUACAUCUAUGAUUUUUAUCCAUCCAACAUAAAGAGAAUAAAUGCAAGGCACGCAGCCGUAUAAACCCGUCAAUAAAACUUAAUUUUGUACCGUUGUUAAAUGCCGACUUUUUCCAAAUGGUCGAUUUUGGCAAACGAAAUAAAAUGUUGUUUUUUCUAUAGCGCAUCAAGAAAAUCUGACUUUCUUUUGGUUAUCUCUACGCUUUUAUACGGAAAAAAUGACGCCAAGACUAAUUUCCCCUUCUCAUCGAUUUUCCCACAAUUUUCCAAAUUUAUUUACUUUUCUUCACUUGACUGUUCUACUAAACAUAAUCAUACGCACAGAACUGCAUUUUUCUAACGCCGAUCUAAAGAAUCUACUCAGCAAAAAUCAACACAAACUUGGCACUACCUUUUUUCACAAAUCAGGAGACCCCGCAUAUCCGGCUCAUUUUCAGUUUGGCGUUCGAUAAUUGCCGGUUAAAACUAAUGCCGGCUUGUUUAUUUUAUUUAUGGCAUUUAUUUAUUGUGAACACCAUCGCAACAUACGUUUUACGAAACAAAUA